CACGUAGGUGGCAAGCGUUAUUCGGAUUUACUGGGCGUAAAGGGUCCGCAGGGGGCCUGACAAGUCUGCCGUGAAAGGCCAAGGCUCAACCUUGGCACUGCGGUGGAAACAGUCGGGCUAGAGUCAGUGAGGGGCAGACGGAACACCUGGUGUAGCGGUGGAAUGCGUAGAUAUCAGGUGGAACACCUAUGGCGAAGGCGGUCUGCUGGCACAUGACUGACCCUCAGGGACGAAAGCGUGGGUAGCAAACAGGAUUAGAUACCCAGGUAGUCCACGCCGUAAACUUUGUGAACUAGAUGUGCCCGGGCUGGCCCCGGGCGUGUCCAAGCUAACGCGAUAAGUUCACCGCCUGGGGACUACGGCCGCAAGGCUAAA
rnacentral:rRNA from 1 species